UACGUAGGUGGCUAGCGUUAUCCGGAAUUACUGGGCGUAAAGGGUGCGUAGGUGGUUUCUUAAGUCAGAGGUGAAAGGCUACGGCUCAACCGUAGUAAGCCUUUGAAACUGGGGAACUUGAGUGCAGGAGAGGAGAGUGGAAUUCCUAGUGUAGCGGUGAAAUGCGUAGAUAUUAGGAGGAACACCAGUUGCGAAGGCGGCUCUCUGGACUGUAACUAACACUGAGGCACGAAAGCGUGGGGAGCAAACAGG
rnacentral:rRNA from 1 species